rnacentral:rRNA from 1 species
UACGUAGGUGGCAAGCGUUGUCCGGAUUUACUGGGCGUAAAGGGUGUGUAGGCGGAAUCUUAAGUAGGAAGUGAAAGGUUGGAGCUCAACUCCAACACUGCUCCCUAUACUGGGGUUCUUGAGUCCCGGAGAGGAAGAUGGAACGACACGUGUAGCGGUGAAAUGCGUAGAUAUCAGGAGGAACACCGGUGGCGAAGGCGGCUCUCUGGGCAUGAUCUGACGCUGAGGAGCGAAAGUGUGGGGAGCGAACAGG